AAAGCAUACCUUAAAUUCCAAAUACACGAUAUAUUAUUUUUUCGUACAUCUAAUUUUUCAUAGCUUUAUAUAGCUGCAGACUGACUGAUUUCAUGAAAACGCUGUAAUAGAUUUCAACAAAGGUAGGGUAAAAGAAAUCUGAUAGCAAUUUUUUUUCCUUUUUUGAAUCUGAAAAUGGGCAUUACAAUACCACUAAAAUUUGAAGAUAAUUAGGUAAAUUAUAAGAGUAAAAUUGCUCCCCUAGAAAGAGAAAGCUACAACAAUUUUAUCUCAGGAAUAUGCAGCUUUUUCAUUAUGUAAUCUCACUGGGAGUUUCUAGGGCCAGAACUUGGUAGCUUUUCAUACUGCAAAAGAAAAAGACGGAUAAAGUAUAUAGCAUUUCAAAACUGUUUAUUUAUAAUAAAAAAAAGAAUAUUAAUGAGAUGAAAUUAGCUGACCUCUGUUUUCACUUGGUCCAUCUCCUUGAGCACUUGUUCAAUGAUUUUCUCUUGUUUUUCACUUUCUCUACAUGUAGAGCAUAGUAGAUUCUCCUUCCUUUCACUUAGCAAUUUGUUUCCCAAGCGGAGCAUUUCAUUUUCGAGUUUAAGUGCCUUGAUUUCAUUCCUCCUUUCGCUAAAAAUUGAAAGCACCAUAAAAAUUUAUUGAAGACACUGUAAAAUAUAUAACAAGAAAAGAAGAAAAAGAAAAAUGAAAUGGAAAAGAAACUCACUUUGAACUAGAACCCCGUUUUCGAGAAGCCAUUGAUUUAGAAACUAAAGCAAAUUAAGAAUAAAGUAGCUUUUUCUUUAGUUUGCUAUGUGACUUGCUUCUUGCAAGAGAAGAAAGUCCUUUAAAUAGAUUGUCUUCAUAAUGUUGUUACCAAAUGUAAGAUUCAAAAUUCAUAUUAUUGUAAUAGGAAAUUUAUGAAUCUUGAAAAUUUAGCAUAUCUUGAGAUAAUGGUAAGAAAUUCAUUUUGUUGCUCAAUUUUAUGAGAAUAAUUGAGAGUAACCUAGGAAGGCAUAGAUUGAGUUUCUAGAUCUUGAAAUAUAGGUAG
rnacentral:lncRNA from 1 species